UCGAAAACAAGCCGAUGAUCUGGCCAGCUGAUGAAAUCUCAUUUAUUUCAAGUUGUCAGUGAUGAGAUUUAAGGGAGGGAUUGGGGCGGAAUAGGGCUUUCGUCUCGGACAUCGGAAUUAAAGAAACACUAUCCGCCUUAGGGCGAGAACAAAGAAUGUGUUGCCUCCUGAAGAAGAGGAAGCCCUGGUUAAAAUGUGAUCGAUUCUCCAACUAUCAUCCGUAUCCUUGGAAUUAGAAGCUCCUGCUCAAAGACCCAUUCAAACGCUUCCAGUGAAAGAAUAUUGCCUUAAAAAGAUAUCAGGAAAUUUGGAAUCACAACACGUGAACAACAAAAGUUGGUUGUGGUUUUUAUAGGUCUUCGCAUAAUGUUCCUUGUCUGUGGUUGAUGUGUAGUGAGUGGCUUCAGCGAGGCGCAGAUAACCCUAGUGCCAAGCCAGCAACCAACCAACUAAGAACCAUCAAACACAAGCCCAUCAAUAUUGAUUCAUGGAAUACCCUCAGCCAUGACUGCUCAGUAUGAGGAGUCAAAACACAGACACAGAGAAAGAUAGAAAGAAAUGAGCCAAUUUCUACUGAACAGGGCGCUUCAAUCCAUCCCCGUGUUUUGCAUGAGGAUCAUCAUGAUUUGCCAGCAUCUCAAAAGUUCUGAGUAUCGUUCCUCUUUCGUCGAGGAAUGUGAGCAAUUAACAUUCACCACCCUGUAUGUAGUAUGGUAUAUGCUACACCAAAGAGGAGGAGAUUCAAGCCAGCAACAGUAUAAAUGAAGCUCAAUUUUAAGGUUCAUUAAGCAUUUCUGGAGAAUGGGAUGGGCGUGCAUUCCUUCACUCGUUCGUUGGGAUCAUCAUCAACGUGGUCGUCGUCGUCGUCGUUGUCGUCGCCCCUCUCCUCCUCGAUCCUCCCGAGGGCAAUUAAUUAACAUGGACCACGAUCCUUCGGUGACAGACCAUCAUUUUCGCUUGGCUCCAAAUAUUUGGCAGCUCCAUCAUCCCUUCGUCCAUCGAGCCAUCCCUCCAUCCAUCUACCACUCGUUCCUUCCUCUGUCGAACCUAGGAGAAGAUGCUCUCAUUGGGAAAAAAUGAGCCAAGGUUCAAUUCGGCCAUUGUUUUUUCCUUCUCUCUCUCUCUCCUUCAGCCUCGCCGGCAUAUUUCACGUGGCUUGUUUGGCUUGGAGUGUGGAACUCUCGUGCUCCUCAAGUGGUUGGUUGACUAGAAAACGCUUUAAUGAAGACGAAAUUAUUGAAGCACGUUUGGAAGUCCAGAGACGCCACGGCCUCAUUUAUCAUCCUGGAAUCUUGCUCAUAUUUCUCUGACUUGUGUAUUUGCAUAUGAAUUUUUCCAGGCUUUAAUGAAGAUCUUUCUUUACGAA